UGAGGAAUUUUCCGCAAUGGGCGAAAGCCUGACGGAGCAAUGCCGCGUGGAGGAAGAAGGUCUGUGGAUUGUAAACUCCUUUUCUCAGAGAAGAAGUUCUGACGGUAUCUGAGGAAUAAGCUCCGGCUAACUCUGUG
rnacentral:rRNA from 1 species